rnacentral:rRNA from 1 species
UACAGAGGGUGCAAGCGUUAAUCGGAAUUACUGGGCGUAAAGGGCGCGUAGGCGGCCUGCUAAGUCGAACGUGAAAUCCCCGGGCUCAACCCGGGAACUGCGUCCGAUACUGGCAGGCUUGAAUCCGGGAGAGGGAUGUGGAAUUCCAGGUGUAGCGGUGAAAUGCGUAGAUAUCUGGAGGAACACCGGUGGCGAAGGCGGCAUCCUGGACCGGCAUUGACGCUGAGGCGCGAAAGCCAGGGGAGCAAACGGG